rnacentral:lncRNA from 1 species
CAACAACACAGCCCAGGCCUGGAGAAGCUCUCUAUGUGAUGAAAUAAUCAGAGGAACAGUGACGUUUCCCAGGUGAACUUGGGUCUUGUGUGUAAUUGUUGGAGUUUCCUCCCACAUCCAUGAACUUUCUUCUAGAAAAUGGCAACGCAAACCUCUAUUUGGCACCCCAGGGCUUUGUUUUUCUUAUAUUGAGGCUUCCUCUGUGAGUUGA